GUUGCUCAGUGGUAGAGUGCUUGCCUGGCAAGUAUGAGGCCCUGGGUUCAAUCCCCAGC
rnacentral:tRNA from 1 species